CUAUACAUGCAGUCGAGCGGAGAUUUGAAAAGCUUGCUUUUCAAAUCUUAGCGGCGGACGGGUGAUUAACACGUGGGCAACCUGCCCUUGAGACGGGGAUAACUCCGGGAAACCGGAGCUAAUACCGGAUAACACAUAUCUUCGCAUGAGGAUAUGUUAGAAGGUGGCUUUUAGCUACCACUCAAGGAUGGGCCCGCGGCGCAUUAGCUAGUUGGUGAGGUAACGGCUCACCAAGGCGACGAUGCGUAGCCGACCUGAGAGGGUGAUCGGCCACACUGGGACUGAGACACGGCCCAGACUCCUACGGGAGGCAGCAGUAGGGAAUCUUCCGCAAUGGACGAAAGUCUGACGGAUCAACGCCGCGUGAGUGAUGAAGGUUUUCGGAUCGUAAAGCUCUGUUGUUAGGGAAGAACAAGUACCUGUUAAAUAAGCAGGUACCUUGACGGUACCUAACCAGAAAGCCACGGCUAACUACGUGCCAGCAGCCGCGGUAAUACGUAGGUGGCAAGCGUUGUCCGGAAUUAUUGGGCGUAAAGCGCGCGCAGGCGGUUCCUUAAGUCUGAUGUGAAAGCCCACGGCUCAACCGUGGAGGGUCAUUGGAAACUGGGGAACUUGAGUGCAGAAGAGGAGAGCGGAAUUCCACGUGUAGCGGUGAAAUGCGUAGAGAUGUGGAGGAACACCAGUGGCGAACGCGGCUCUCUGGUCUGUAACUGACGCUGAGGCGCGAAAGCGUGGGGAGCGAACAGGAUUAGAUACUCUGGUAGUCCACGCCGUAAACGAUGAGUGCUAACUGUUAGAUGGUUUUCGCCCUUUAGUGCUGCAGCACACGCAUUAAGC
rnacentral:rRNA from 1 species